GUUGAUGUAGCUUAAUUUAAAGCAUAGCACUGAAGAUGUUAAGACAGACCCUAAGAAGUCUCACCAGCA
rnacentral:tRNA from 1 species